GGGGGGGGGGGGGGGGGGGGGUGGGGCGGGGGGGGCGGGGGGGGGAGGGGAGCGUGGGCCGGGGUUCAGCGGCGGGCGGGGGAGUGGUGCCUAGGAAUCUGCCUGGUAGUGGGGGAUAACGUCCGGAAACGGGCGCUAAUACCGCAUACGUCCUGAGGGAGAAAGUGGGGGAUCUUCGGACCUCACGCUAUCAGAUGAGCCUAGGUCGGAGUAGCUAGUUGGUGGGGUAAAGGCCUACCAAGGCGACGAUCCGUAACUGGUCUGAGAGGAUGAUCAGUCACACUGGAACUGAGACACGGUCCAGACUCCUACGGGAGGCAGCAGUGGGGAAUAUUGGACAAUGGGCGAAAGCCUGAUCCAGCCAUGCCGCGUGUGUGAAGAAGGUCUUCGGAUUGUAAAGCACUUUAAGUUGGGAGGAAGGGCAGUAAGUUAAUACCUUGCUGUUUUGACGUUACCAACAGAAUAAGCACCGGCUAACUUCGUG
rnacentral:rRNA from 1 species